AUUGAACGCUGGCGGCAGGCUUAACACAUGCAAGUCGAGCGGGGUGAUGGUGCUUGCACUAUCACUUAGCGGCGGACGGGUGAGUAAUGCUUAGGAAUCUGCCUAUUAGUGGGGGACAACAUCUCGAAAGGGAUGCUAAUACCGCAUACGUCCUACGGGAGAAAGCAGGGGAUCACUUGUGACCUUGCGCUAAUAGAUGAGCCUAAGCCGGAUUAGUUAGUUGGUGGGGUAAAGGCCUACCAAGGCGACGAUCUGUAGCGGGUCUGAGAGGAUGAUCCGCCACGCUGGGACUCAGGCACGGCCCAGACUCCUACGGGAGGCAGCAGUGGGGAAUAUUGGACAAUGGGGGGAACCCUGAUCCAGCCAUGCCGCGUGUGUGAAGAAGGCCUUAUGGUUGUAAAGCACUUUAAGCGAGGAGGAGGCUCUUUUGGUUAAUACCCAAGAUGAGUGGACGUUACUCGCAGAAUAAGCACCGGCUAACUCUGUGCCAGCCGCCGCGGUAA
rnacentral:rRNA from 1 species